rnacentral:rRNA from 1 species
UACGUAGGGGCAAGCGUUGUCCGGAUUUAUUGGGCGUAAAGAGCGUGUAGGCGGCCAAGCAGGUCAGCUGUGAAAACCUCGAGGCUCGAACCUCGAGACGUCGGUUGAAACCACCUGGCUAGAGUCCGGGAAGAGGAGUGUGGAAUUCCCGGUGUAGCGGUGAAAUGCGCAGAUAUCGGGAGGAACACCGUCUGGCGAAGGCAGCUCGCUGGGACGUUACUGACGCUGAGACGCGAAAGCGUGGGGAGCAAACAGG